rnacentral:rRNA from 1 species
UACAACUCCCAAACCCCUGUGAACAUACCUUAAUGUUGCCUCGGCGGAUCAGCCCGCGCCCGGUAAAACGGGACGGCCCGCCAGAGGAUCCAAACUCUUGCUGUUAUUGUAACUUCUGAGUAAAACAAACAAAUAAAUCAAAACUUUCAACAACGGAUCUCUUGGUUCUGGCAUCGAUGAAGAACGCAGCAAAAUGCGAUAAGUAAUGUGAAUUGCAGAAUUCAGUGAAUCAUCGAAUCUUUGAACGCACAUUGCGCCCGCCAGUAUUUCUGGCGGGCAAUGCCUGUUCGAGGCGUUCAUUUCAACCCUCAAGCCCCCGGGUUUGGUGUUGGGGAUCGGCGAGUCUUAGGACCAGCCGCCCCCUAAAUCUAGUGGCGGUCUCACUGCAGCCUCCAUUGCGUAGUAGCUAACACCUCGCAACUGGAACGCGGUGCGGCCAUGCCGUUAAACCCCCAACUUCUGAAUGUUGACCUCGGAUCAGGUA